CAUUUUAAAGGUAGUAGGGGGUUAAGGCCAUAGUUGCUCUUUGGCCCAUCGAUAGUUGUUUCCCAAAUAUUUGGCCUUCGAAAUUUUUUUUAUCUUUUUUUCCUUUUCCCUCCAAUUUCAAUCACACAUAAGCAAGCCAUCAUUACCACUAAUCCACUCCCCCACAUCACCCCAUUACUUUAUCGUCGUGUUAUUUUUCUU
rnacentral:lncRNA from 1 species